GAGAAUAAGAAUCACAGUGGCACCUUGGUCACUGUUUCCCAGGUGUCCCGGGGGGAUGAAAAGGAAUAUGAUCUCCUAGACUUCUCUAGUGGGAGUUGCCAUGGAACCCACGUUGCAAGUUAUGUAACCUGAGCAUACCCAGAUGAGUGAAGUGCACAGCCAUGGGCGGAACCUAGGUACUUGGACCAAAGAACAGGGUUUGAGUUAAGACGUGAACACCACAUGCUGGCGUGAUCCAUGAUCCAAUCAGAUUGAGCCCUGGCAUCACCCUCUGCCUCCCUUUCAGCUACAGGUGGCAUUCUGGCCAGUCUGGCUGGUGAUCUGUUAAGUGGAAUUCUGCCAGGAAGACUCCAGGAAAAAUAAAAGAGAAAAACAUGGCAGAUGGAACCCUUCACCCAUCCUCCUUUUUCCUGUUUCUGACCUCUGUCUAACGUCAGAGCUGCCAGCAGCCCCUGUAUAACCAUGGGUAAAAGAGUAAAGAAUCAUCACUCCUGAUACUGGUGAGCCACUGAACCAAUACCAGCAACUGAAUACCUCCAGAUUUCUUUUUAUGAGUAAAAUAAAUGCCUACUUGUUCAAGCCAUUUUAAACAAGUUUCCUGUUGCUUGAACUUGAACAUCUUUCUAACUGACAACAUUUCCAUGAUAACCAUGUUCUUUUAUUGUUGAAAUAGAUACUACUUGGUCACCAUGUAUCUUAAAUACAAUAUUGUAUUUAUUCUGCUAAUAUAUUAUUUAAAUUUU